GACGGUGGGCGUGGCUUGAGGAAGGGCGUUUGUGAUUGGUGGGUUCUGCCGCGGCCGGGAAGUUCGAACAGAAGUCUGGGGAAGAGCCGGCGAAGAGCAAAGAGAUAAUACAGUACUCCCAGCUAUAGCAAGCGGCAGUUAUGGAGCAUGCGCAGCAGCAGGGGCGGCCGCAGGUCGCCGUUCAAUAAUACUCAAGGGAUUUGUACAGCCCUGUAGGAGACACCUCCAGAGAAAGUAACAGCUCUCAAUUGAUUAGCUGAGGAAGACACCAGACAAAUGAGUUACACUGUUUUGGACUCCCCAACACAACCCAGCCACCGGCUGAAUGCCACCAAAUUACCUUCUAGUUAAAGGUUUAUGGAGCAAACGAAUCACCUAUUCAAUAUCUGCUUGAAUUUCUGACUCAAAAUACAUCAGAAGCCUCAGGGGCUGGAUCCUGACAUGAACCAGACACCUCCAGAAUUCUAUCCCAAGCAAAAGAUUAUUUCAAGGCCAGAACUCACUCCCUGCUGGAGACUGACUACAAGAUCCACUGAGAUUGAUGUGUAACCUGAUUGGGCCCACAGUGAUGCUAGCCCCUUCACCAGAUGGAACAAUAAUUCCAGACAAGCCAUCAGAGCAGGUCACACCACUUGACACCUUCUCGCCCCCUUGCCUCUCCUGCAUUCCAAACCCCUCUCUUUAAAAUCCCCAUGUUCCCUCCGUAAACUGGGCAGUGCCAAUUGUUGGAAAGAAUUCUGGCACUCUUUUCCUUCUUAGCAUGGAUAAAAAGAUUCACCCUCUUUUUAUCACACCUCACUCUUGUUAUUUUGGCUUCUUUCUACAAGUGGUGAGCAACCGGGCCCCCUUUGCUGGUUAUAGUAUGAACUAUUUUAUUUUUUUUAAUCUACAAUAAAAUAAAAUACAUUCAUUAGA
rnacentral:lncRNA from 1 species